rnacentral:lncRNA from 1 species
CUUUGUGUGGCUGUAAUAGUAUCAGGCACAGUAGACUCUGCCAUAGAGAUAAAGGAGGCAUUUCAUACUAUUAAAAGUUCAGUUAAAUGGACAGUAUAACAGUCACACCUUUGCUUACAACGUGAUGAUGCAUGAUAAAUUUCAAGGAGAGUAAAUUCAAUCAAUCAGAAUAAAAGGCAAAAAAGAGAAAAGCAUGGAAGUUAUGGUGUGACAUAUAAGGGGAAAUACAAGUUAAAAAUCAGAAAUAAUUCUCCCUGUUGAAAACAGAAGAGACUUUCUACACUCCCAUUUCUUACAGAAACCCAGCCCUUUCCAUUCAGAUCCCAGCAAGCUAAUGUGAUGGGGUCCAGCAGAUCACUACAUCAAGGAAUCUGGUGGCCAAGGAAAACCAGCUAUCCACUAUCCCCGCAACUAUGGAAGAACUAAGGGUGUUAGAGAUGCUUCAAGAGCAGUGGCCAGAGGCCAUACUUAAACCCCUCCUGGCAAAGAUGAGCUGGGAGAGAUUGCAACCAUAUACCUAGAAGACGGUAAAUGUAUUGGAGAGAGACUUGUGCAACAUAAAGGCUGUCGUAUUCUUUACUCCCGAUGGAUUGUCUAUGGAAGAAACUCCGUGGGGAAAAUACCCCAGAUUUGGUUGCAAGGUGUCUUCUGAAAGGGGUAUGGCAGAGAACAGCAGUCUGACACUAUGCUAGAAAAGCAUAGAUCCUGAUCUAAGACAAAUCAUUGCAUGACCUUGGGCCCUAGGAAAUAGUGAUACUGCUAUUAUUCGAAAUAUAGAAC